rnacentral:sRNA from 1 species
CUGGCAUGAUCUGCGGACAGAUCAGGUGCACGUGACAGUCGAUGGCACCGGCGGUCAGGAUCCGGCCGUUGCCUGCGAUGAUCUCGGUCGACGGACCGACGACCAGGUCCGGGUGCACACCGGUCAUGAUGUCGGGAUUGCCGGCCUUACCGAUGGCCACGAUGCGCCCGUCGCGGAUUCCGAUGUCGGCCUUGAUGAUUCCCCAGUGAUCGAUGAUCACCGCACCGGUGAUGACGGUGUCGGGUGCGCCCUCGGCCCGGGUCGCCCUCGCCUGGCCCAUCGACUCGCGCAG